CCCUUAGAUGUUCUGGGCCGCACGCGUGCUACACUGAGUGGAUCAGCGGGUCAGGUUACGCGAGAGCGUUUCCUAAUCUUCAAAUCCGCUCGUGAUGGGGAUUGACGGUUGCAAUUUUCCGUCAUGAACGAGGAAUACCUUGUAAGCGCGGGUCAUCAUCCUGCGCUGAAUACGUCCCUGCCCUUUGUACACACCGCCCGUCGCUCCUACCGAUUGAGUGGUCCGGUGAGGCUUUGGGAUCUAAGCGAAAAGAGCGUUUCGCUCCUUUUGCUGGGAGAACUCAGUCGAACCUUAUCAUUUAGAGGAAGGAGAAGUCGUAACA
rnacentral:rRNA from 1 species